UACGGAGGGUGCAAGCGUUACUCGGAAUUACUGGGCGUAAAGAGUGUGUAGGCGGUUUUAUAAGUCGGGUGUGAAAGCCCUGGGCUCAACCCAGGAAAUGCGCCCGAUACUGUAGAACUUGAGUACGAGAGAGGGUAGUAGAAUUCCCGGUGUAGAGGUGAAAUUCGUAGAUAUCGGGAGGAAUACCGGUGGCGAAGGCGGCUACCUGGAUCGAUACUGACGCUGAGACACGAAAGCAUGGGGAG
rnacentral:rRNA from 1 species